GGGGGGGGUCCCAGUCCUUGGACACUUGGAAUUCCCAAAUGUUCUCCUCUGGUAAGUGGGAGCAGGAAGGAGGAUGCACAAAUAGAUCCCAACACAAAAGAUCCUGACCAGUUUGGGGGAAGUAGAGUCUAGGCUGUUUUCCCACAUAUCCAGUAUAUUCCUCCUAGGGCCUGCCAUUUGAUGUCUGUGUCGACCUCGUCCCAGGCCUUUUGUCACAUUUCCAGUUGGCUGGGAUGGCUUCCGUCAACCCUAUGGCAAAGAUUAGGGCAAGGAUAACAACAACAGACAGGGACAAGGGGUGACAGUGCAUCGCAGUAAGAGAACUGAAAUAGAAAACAAAACCAGUCUAUUUAUCCCAUCAGGCAGCUGAUUCCUCAAGCUUCUGCCAUGUGUAGAUUAGUUAGCUUCCAGACUGACUAAUGCAGGGCUGCAGUCCUCGAGGGUCUCCUGGGUCAUAAUCUGUUUCCUCCAGAUGGUCAGCUUAUAUGGUGUUGAUGGAUCAGAAGUGCAUUCCCAGCCUUGGGAAGCCAUCUUUGCUCUGCUGUGGUGAAUCCAAAGGACCACCUUGGCUACCUUCACUUCAGUGGGGGUGGAUAAAAUGACAGCGAAAGGACCCCUCAAGAGGGGCUUUAGGGCUGGACAUUCCACUUUUAACCAUACAGCAUCUCCAGGUUUAAAGGGGUGAGCAUCUAUGGUCAAGCUCACAGGUAACUGUUUCCUAACCCAAUGGUACAUAGUGGUUAGGGUUGAGCCAAGAACUUGCAUCUGCUGUCUCAGGGUAAUAUUGCCCAGUUCUUUUAGAUCCCCUCAUAUGCCCCUGAUAAUGGAAGGAGGGUGUCCAUAAAGAAUCUCAUAAGGAGAAAACCCUGUCUGUCUAGUAGGUCUGGACCUGAUCCUUAAGAGAGCAAUUGGCAAUAGUCAAUACCAGUGUACGUGACUCUCCUGACAUAGUUUACUUAGUUGCAAUUUUUGAGUUCAGUUCAUUUACUCCACCUUCCCAAACUCUGGGGACAAUAUCCCAUAUGUAACUUCCAGGUGAUCUUCAACCCCUUUGCCACCAAUUGUACCACCUCAGCCACGAAUGUUGGCCCAUUUUCCAAUCUAUAGUGAUUGGGAUUCCAAAUCAGGGAACAAUCUCCUUUAGGAGAAAUUGGGCCACUUGAUGUGCUUUUUCCAUGCAUGUAGGAAAGGCCUUUACCCAGCCUGAGAAAGUACACACAAAGACUAUCAGAUAUUUAUAGUCUCAGACUCGGGAAAGAUCAGUGAAAUCCACAACUACAUUUUCAAAUGGGGCCCCUCCAACACUCUGUACUACAGGAGUGGCCUUAGGUCUCUGCUGUGGCUUCUCUGUAAGACUGUAGUGGUGCCACUCUUCUCCUUGGGGGACCAUGAGAAUCAUGAUUUUUGUUUCUGGUUUCCCCAGGGUCAGGGAUGGCUUGGCCCUGAGAGUUGAAAGUUAUCUAGGCCUACAGCUUUCCCAAUAAGUCCUGAUCCAUCAAAACCAUGGGAUGGAUGGGGAGGUGUAGGAAUUUGUGAAUGACUUCAUGGCCACCUAAACUGCAUCACUGAGGCAGUAAGAGGACAACAAGCUUGGUCGCCAGUGGCUCCCACAAGAGUGGUCUGUCUCUGUGAGAGGGGGCCCACGGGUUGGGUAACCACAGAAUGUUCUGCCCGGGUGUCUAUCAUAAAGUCAGUGGGCCAGCCUCCUAUGGUUAUUCAGACCACUGGCUCCUGGAGGGCUAACAGAAUGGAGCCUGGUCUGUCCUAGUCUUCCUCAUAAUUUCCCAUAUCAGCCAGACCAACAAAAUUGUCUAUGGUUGCUGCACUGGUUGGUACUGUCCUUAUAUCACCCAGCCCUUCCCCUUCCAUCUGGGAGCAGGUUAAUAAUUUUCUCGCUGCAAGGGGCAGUUGUUCAUCCGGUGACCUUCCUGGAGGCAGUGAGCAUACUGAUUUCCUCCCAAUCUCAUCUCUGGGGGAGGUUCCUUGUCUUGACCCUCUUGUCGGUUCCUUUUCUGACUCGGCCCCAGCUCAGCAGGGCACCUCUCCAGGAAUGUCCCAAGUGAUCCAUCAGGGUGGCAGCAAGCAGAUCUGCUUUUUUUUUUUUUCCAUUUUUCGGUCUGUUUCUCAUCGUGCCUCUUGGUCUUGGUUGAAAAAUACCUUCAUUGCAACUUCCAAUAGUUGGCUGGCACUCAUCCCAAAGAAGUCCUCUAACUUUUGUAGCUUUCAUCAGAUGUCUCCCUGGGCUUGGCUGACAAAGGCUGCAUUAACCAUCAGUUGAUUCUCUGUGGCUUCUGGGUCGAAGGGAAUGUAAAAGCAGAGUACUUCACAUAGCUUCCCAUAAAAUUGGCUUGGCCUCUCUUCAGGUCCCUGGAGUACCUCUGAGGUUUUGUUCAUGUUUAUAGCCCUUUUUUCUCCCUCCUUCAUGCCACUUAAAAGACCUCUUGGUAGCAUUCGAGCAUUUGAAAUCCCCGGGCAUCAUGAGGGUCCCAUUGGGGAUUUUUCUCAGGGAAAUGGUGUAAGCCUGUGCACUCAUUGUUCCUGCCAGGGCAUAUUUUUUCAACCAUUUUAAAGGGGCAUGAGAAUUUGGCUGAGCUUUUCAGUGCUGAACAGAGUCAGGAGUAGCUAGCAGCAAUCAGUCCAGGUUGCCUUGUGGGUCUGGAUGAUGGUUUGCAUAGAUCAAUCACAGCCUGAAGUUUUUUAGUGAAUGAGGAAGUAUGGUUUUUCUAGUUCAGGGGAUCAGUGGUGGUAAAAGGCUGAUAUAAGAAAGUGUGUUGGCCUCCUUGAAUCCGACCAUCCUGAUCAUUGUAGAGGAUCCCCUGAGUUUCCCUCAGUAGCAUUUGUAAGGUACCUCAGCACUUAUGAGGAGAGAGACUGCCAGCAGGGUCCUCCUGGCACUUCACAGCCAGAGUUUAUGAAGUUAAGACUGGCAGCUCCUGAGUGGCUAUGGUUGGGAGCAUCUCAGGUGGCUUCAGGGGUGUGUGCAGCCCCUGGUGGGAUUUUGGCUAUGGUUGGUGCAGUGAGUGCCAGUGGUAGCAGGGAAUACUGUGGUGCAUAAGGGAGGGGAACUUCCUCUGGCUCCCCAGACAGAAUGUGUGUCUCAAGUUCAGGUCAGCAUUUUGAGGAAGCCAUCAUUCGGCAAUCAUGAUUUUACAGUUCUCUUCCAGAUAGGCUUUCAGCCAAGGUAGCCAAGAGAGGAAUAUAUCUUGCCAGCAGUCAAUGUAAGGGAAUUUUCCAACCACAAUGCCAUAGGAAUGUAAAUCAACAACAAGAAAAAAAAAAGUACUGCAAAAAACAAAAAUGCACGUAGACUAAACAACAUGCUACUAAAAAACCAAUAGAUCAAUAAAGAAAUAAAAGAGGAAAUUAAAAAAAAAAUACUUAGAAGCAAAAGACAACAAAGACACAACAAUCGAAAACCUAUGGGAUGCAGUAAAAGCCAUUUUGAGAGGGAAGUUUAUACAAUACAAGCCUACCUCAGGAAAUAAGAAAAAGCUCAAAUAAACAACAUAACUUUAUACCUAAAGCAACUAGAGAGAGAAGAAAAAGCAAUACCUAAAGUUAGCAGAAGGAAAGAAAACAUAAAGGUCAUAGCAGAAAUAAAAGAAAUAGAAACAAAGAAAAACAUAGAAGAGAUCAAUGAAACUAAAAGCUGGUUCUUUGGAAAGAUCAACAAAAUUGAUUAAUCCUUUAGGCAGACUCACCAAGAAAAAAUAGAAAAGAAUCAAAUUAACAAAAUUUUACACAAAAAGUAGAAGUUAAAAUGGACAUCACAGAAAUGCAAAAGAUCAUAAAAGACUACUAUAAGCAACCAUAUGCCAAUAAAAUGGACGACCUAGAAAAAAGUGGACAAAUUGUUAGAAAAAGUACAAUCUAACAACAAGACUAAACAAAGACAAAAUAGAAAAGGUAGAUGGUCUAUUCACAAAUAGUGAAACUGUGAUUAAAAACUCCCAACAAACAGAAGUCCAGGACCAGAGAGCUUCACAAGUGAAUUUAUCAAACAUUUAGAGGAAAGCUAACACCUCACUUUCCGAAACUAUUCCAAAAACACUGCAGGGUAAAGAACACACCCAAACUCAUUCUAUGAGGCUACCAUCACCCUGAUACCAAAACCAGACAAAGAUAUUACCACAAAAGAAAAUUACGGGCCAGUAUCAAUGACCAACAUAGAUGCAAAAAUCCUCGACAAAACACUAGCAACCCAAAUCCAACAAUACUUUCCAAGAACUGCACACCCUGAUGAAGUGGGAUUUAUCCCAGGGAUGCAAGGAGUUUUCAAUACUGGCAUAUCAAUCAGUGUGACACACCACAUUAACAAACUGAAGAAUAACAACCAUAUGAUCCUGCCAAGAGAUGCAGAAAAAGCUUUUGACAAAAUCCAACACCCAUUCCUAAUAAAAACCCUCCAGAACCUGGACACAGGGGGCACCUACCUCACCAUGAUAAAGGCCGUAUAUGAUAAAUCCACAGCUACCAUCAUUCCCCAUGGUGAAAAGCUGAAAGAAUUCCCACUAAGUUCAGGAACAAAACAAGGAUGUCCUCUCUCACCACUACCAUUCCACGUAGUUUUGGAAGCCCCAGCGAUGGAAACAUGAGAAGAAAAAGAAAUAAAAGAAUCCAAAUUGGAAAGGAAGAACUAAUACUAUCACUGUCUGCAGUAAUACCUAGAACAUCCUUAAGAUGCUAUUAGAAAACUUUUAGAGCUCAUCAAUGAAUUUGGUCAAGCUGCGGAAUACAAUACGCAGACACCGACUGCAUUUCUAUACACUAACAAUGAAAGCCCAGAAAGAUCAAUUAGGGAAACCAUCACAUUUACCAUCACAUUAAAGGAAUAAAAUACCUAGGAAUAAACCUACCUAAAGAGAUAAAAGACCUGUACUAUGAAAACUGUAAGCUGCUGAUGAAAGAAAUCAAAGACGACACAAACAGAUGGAAAGCUGUACCAUGCUCUUGGAUUGGAAGAACCAAUAUUGUCAAAAUGACCA
ensembl:lncRNA